rnacentral:rRNA from 1 species
UACGUAGGGUGCGAGCGUUGUCCGGAAUUAUUGGGCGAAAAGCGUGCGCAGGCGGUUCGGAAAGAGAGGUGUGAAAUCCCAGGGCUUAACCUUGGAACUGCACUUCUAACUACCGGGCUAGAGUACGUCAGAGGGGGGUAGAAUUCCACGUGUAGCAGUGAAAUGCGUAGGGAUGUGGAGGAAUACCGAUGGCGAAGGCAGCCCCCUGGGAUGAUACUGACGCUCAUGCAUGAAAGCGUGGGGAGCAAACAGG